rnacentral:tRNA from 1 species
AUUAUUUUGGCAGAUUAGUGCAAUAAAUUUAGAAUUUAUAUAUGUAAUUUUUGUUACAAAUAAUA